CAGUCGCCGCGGUAAUACGAAGGGUGCAAGCGUUAUCCGGAUUCACUGGGUUUAAAGGGUGCGUAGGCGGGCAGGUAAGUCAGUGGUGAAAUCUUCGAGCUUAACUCGGAAACUGCCGUUGAUACUAUCUGUCUUGAAUAACGUUGAGGUGAGCGGAAUAUGUCAUGUAGCGGUGAAAUGCUUAGAUAUGACAUAGAACACCGAUUGCGAAGGCAGCUCACUAAACGCUCAUUGACGCUGAGGCACGAAAGCGUGGGGAUCAAACAGGAUUAGAGACUCGCGUAGUCCCUGUCUCUUAUAC
rnacentral:rRNA from 1 species